CCCCUAAGCUCCGCCCACUCCCCGCCCCUGAGGUCCAUCUGGGGCCUCGCCCGGCGAUCUGGGACUGGGGAGGACCCUGCUGACUUCCAGGCAGGUGGAAACUGGAUUGAUAGAAAUCCAGCGCGGGGAGGCUGUGCUGAGAGGAGGGACGCCCCUGCCCUGCGCCUCCCGCUCCCCAUCUCUGGCUGGUAUCCCGGUUACAGAAUGAGGGUCCGUGGUGCAACAGAAAGAAUGAGCCACUGAUACACUCAUCAGCUUGCUCGGAUCUCCCGGGGAGUUACGCUGGUGAGAGAAACCAGUCCCAAAGGUCACUCACCGACGGCGCCGCUGGUGUACUGGUAUUAUGCAAGAUGCCCUCGCAAAGGUCACGCACGGAUGGUUCAUUUAUCCAAAGACCAAAGGAGAGAAAUGCAGGACUCAUUAGCAGUGCCCAGGAGAUAGGGGGGCGGGUGGGUGUGGCUAUAAAAACGCAACCCGGGGGGUGCCUGUGAAGGAAAUCUGCGUCCCGCGGAACGCAACACGCUGUUGGGAUACUGGAUUGUCCUUUGUGAGAUGCCACUAUCGGGGGAAACCGGAUGGCUUCACAGAAAAAGUUCGUUUAAAGGAAAAUGGUUUAAGGCCAAGGAAAUACCUAGAAAACGGAAAGUCUUGAAACCAGAGCCGGUGGGGAGUUAUGGGGGGCGGUGCUGGUGAACAGUUUGGGCCGACUUUUUCCAGCGCUUGCUGGCUUCUGCCACCUCAUUUGGCAGUCACCUGCCACUGUGACCUCCCCAAGUCCCUUCUCCAAACUCAAUUCCUUGAUUUCUGGUGUCCCGGGAUGGCCCCACUCCAACAAUAGAGCAGAAGGAAGGAAGGUUUCCCCUGUGUUUAGAACGUUCCUAACGAAAAUAACUGCAACUCUUGAUUGUACCUCCUGAGGGUCGUUGGGACUUUCCCUCUCAGACAUUUAUUGGUUCAUUCAUUCGUUCAUUUUGCUGUAACUCACAGUGGCCCUCCCCAUCCUAAGGUGCACUGCUGGGAUUGGUCUAUGUGCUGAUGAUGUUCUCCUUGUCUUCAGAGGAAAAAGAAUGCCUGUGUUUCGAAGUUCCUUCUUAGGACGAAACCAGCUGAAGCUGGCGAAAUCCAAGAUGGCGCCUCUGAAGAGCCUCUGGCUUUAUCAUCAUCCUGUUCUCAUGCUAAACAACAUGUCGCCAUGACAACGACUGGAAGAGACCAAGAAGGGACAGAAAAAAAGGGGUUUCUUGAUUCCGGGAAAAAUCUCCGUUCUUUCCCAAGGAAAGCACGAAUAUUCCCCCCCGUGCUCUUAAUGCCCAGCCCCUUCAUUAAAGACACCCUACCUCUGAAACUUCCCAGCUCUCACAAGCUAAGUUGAUUUCAGAUCUUCCAAUUCCAUAGCCAUUGAAUACAGCCUGCACUGCUUGACACACUCCCUUUCGGUUUCGUGCAUUGGCCUCACCACGCAACAGGAAACAACCCUUUUUGGGAUAACCGGGACUCCCGGUAACAUUUCCAUAUAUACAUAUCUUAAUGUAUGCAAGGGCGUCUGGGGGAGAAAGAAGCAGCACAUUUCAUUCUUUGCUUUCUAUAAUACUGGAUUGCUUGAGUUUGUGACACAUGUUAACAUUUGCAACAUUUUUAAACUAAAUUGUAUGUAUUAUAGAACAGUCCUCUGCGCUGAGCUUGGACUUAAAGUGGAAAGGCUUACAUUUGCAGAAUUAAAAAAAGCAUCGAAACA
rnacentral:lncRNA from 1 species